rnacentral:lncRNA from 1 species
GGUAAUGAAAUUGGAGAAUGUUGAAUAAAUUGUACAUCUUGCCGUUGUACUUCCUAGACAACCUUUGGUAAUGAUUCCCUGCUUUUGUAAAUUUGACAGGUUGCUGAGGCUGAAGACAAAACUGCUGGUGGCCUUAUUCUCACUGAAACCACUAAGGAGAAGCCAUCAAUCGGAACAGUAAGUUCUUACCAUUGUCUCUUUAAGCCUUGUUAUUGUUAUUCUAUUGCUGUGAACCUAGAUUGUUGGGCUAUAUGCAAAGAUUUGUGCAUGUACUGAGCCAAGCGAGAAAAUGGACAUUUAGCCACUUUCAAGAAGUGGUUUCGCUGAAAUGCCAUUCCGAAAACGCGUUUCGCUAAAAUGCCAAUAUGUAGCGUGCACUCACCGCCACUUGCCAUUUUGGCCAUUUUGUGCAUUUUCAAUUGCAUUUUCGCUGGAAUGUGGCUUGAUGGGACCAAAUUGCCCUUGCUCGCCGGUUGAAAGGGGAUCGAUCCAGUUCAUGGGAGGAAAGAGGACGAGUGCGGCGAGGUAGUCUGCGUGGCCAAAAUGGAGGAGGCGGUGAGCGAACGCAUGGCGGCGGCGGUGAUGACGGCGACACGGGCAUGGCGACGCCGCAGCGAAGGGAGACGCACGGCCUCCACGCCGUCGCGGACGACGCCCUGUCCGCUGACGAAGAAGCUGACGACAGACGGCCAUGACCAUCUCCAGGAUGCCGAACCCCCACCCUCACCAGCGCGCCGAUGUCGAUGGCCAGGAUGCUUGACGAGGUGGAGGUGAGGUCGUCGAGGUGGAGGACCCGACGACGCUUGUAGACGAAGCGGCGGCGGCGGCGGCGGCGUCCUCGAGGUCGAGCGAGUGGAGGACCUGGCAGCGCUUGUAGACGAAGCGGCGGCAGCAGCGUCCUCGAGGUCGGGCGGGUGGAGGACCCGGCGGCGCUUGUAGACGAAGCCGUUGCAGUUGCAGAUCUCCCAGUCCUCGUUGCCGUCGCCGCCGGCGGUGGAGGCGUACUAAAAUCCAUGCGCUCUCUCUCCUCUCUACUCUCUCUUUUUCGCUGAGAUUGAUUUCGCUUGCUGUGGCGGCUGGGCUCUGAUCCGUCGAUCCGUGCGCUCGCCGGAGGAGGAGGAGGAUUUGGGGUGUGUGUGUGUGCACGGCGGUGGCGCGCGGCGGGAUGAUGCUGGCGGGGCACAAGUUCAGGAAGGGGAAGAAGGCGGUGGAGGAGGAGGUGAACGGGUUCUUCAUGGAGGAGGAGGAGGAGGUAGCGGUGUCGGACGCGUCGUCGAUCGGGAUGGCAUCGUCGGACAGCUCGACGGGAGAAAUCGUCGUCGGAGAAGGAGGGGCAUUCUCGUCUCUUCAAGCCGCUUCCCAGAGAAAAUGAUAUCCAAAAUGGUGAAAAUGGCAAAGUAGCUGUGAUGGCGCACUCCAUAUUAGCAUUUUAGCGAAACACGUUUUCGGGAUGGUAUUCCAGUGAAACCAUGUUUUCAAAGUGGCAAAAUGUCCAUUUUCUCCAGCCAAGCUGAACUGAAUUUGCAUGAGUUUUACCUGUUUAUUACCUUCUGAAUGCAGGUUGUAGCCGUUGGUCCAGGCCCUCUUGAUGAUGAAGGCAAGAGGCAGCCAUUGUCAGUUUCAGCGGGCAGCACUGUGAUGUACUCCAAGUACGCAGGCAGUGAGUUCAAGGGAGCUGAUGGCACCAACUACAUUGUCUUGAGAGUAUCAGAUGUGAUGGCUGUCCUAUCUUGAGCUGUGAUUUGUUUCAAUUUUGAGUUCAGAAUAGACGGUAGCAGGUGGUAAUGGUUGCCAUGUGGUGAUCUUCACUCUGCGGAGAUGCUGUCUUUGAUAAUCCUAGAAUUCGAACGCAACAAUUUGCAGAUCUCCUACGGGAUCAACAUUCCACUGUGACUGAUUUUUAUUUAUAAAAGUUUGUUUUGUUUCAAGGCCUUCCUUCAUUGCCUCUUUAGCCCAAUUUUGUCUUUCCACUCAUCAGUGUUUUCAUCGGCUGGUUUGGCAAAACGGUGAUUGCUAUUUUUAUCGCUUCCUCUGUGUGCAAAUAUACGGGCAUUUGAAAAUUUUAAAAUUUGUUUAUAAUUUAAAUUUUAGACUACUUUGUUCCAUUAGUCUCAAUAUUUUUCCAUCUUAUUUCCCACCAUCUUUCCAUUCCAUUUUUCUUAUUUAAGAUUAAAUUUGCAGAAAUACUACAGGGCUGUAUUCGGUUUAAAUGGAACAGCUGUAUGUUACGAUGAUAUCACUAUAGUACUUAGGUAUCAAGGUAUCAGAUUUGAUACCUACGAGAUAUUAUAUAUAAAUCUGAUAUCUACGGGGUAUGUUUGGUAUCAAAUCUGAUACCUACGAGAUAUUAUAUAUAAAUCUGAUAUCUACGGGGUAUGUUUGGUAUCUAUCUGGUACCUAUUCUUAUAUUUAGGGCAAGUACUAUGGACAUCCAAGUAUAAGCUCUAAGAUGCCGCAUAGGACUAAAUAGUGAGGUGGAGAAGAGAAGAAGGAUGAGAGAGAAAUAAUCACCUCUCAUGCAAGAGGCAGUCCCUACACAAACUUCAAUAAACAUGUGAGAGUGUUAGAGAUACUGGGGAUUGUGUGGUAGAUGUAACCUAUUAUACAUAUCAUCUCUUAAUUUAAUUAUCUAUGUCAUGCAUGAAAUUGGAUGUGGUAGUCACCUCUACUAUAAAACUUGCCCUAAGAGGUGUAAAUUUAAUGGUUAAGCUGCUACUCUUAUAUUUAAGAGAAGUGUAAAUAAAAUAUAUAGAACUAUAACUCUGAUGGAACCCAAACAUUUUUGACACACUGCGUCCACAUGUCAACAGCUUGGUUGAGAUGAAACGGUGAGCUACAUUUCUUAGCUACGAGCCUAUGACGAAACGAUGAGCCAUGCCAGCAAGCCAUGUUAUCACCAACACUCGAAGGUAAUGUUCGGGAGCAUAACGCCUCCCCCAUCUUUAAAAUCCAGUAUACUCGACUCGUUUCAAAAGCGGUUUCGUCCUACGUGGUACUCAUAGGAUCCACAUAUCAGUGAAAAAAAAAAAUUAACAGCCCCACAUUCCAAUCAUCUCCUAAUAUCUUUUUCCUUUUUUUUUCCCUCUCUCUUUCUUGUUCUCUCUCCAGGUUGCGGUAGCGGCUAACAUAGUUAGGGAGGCGACAAUAAAAGUAGCGGUGCACGAGGCGAUGGGGCAUCAGAGGAAGAGAGAGAGAGAGAGAGAGAGAGAGAGAGAGAGAGAGAGAGAGAGAGAGAGAGAGGAGGACGCGAUGUAGAGCCGCCGGCGGGUUUUGAGGAGAAGGAUGUGGAGCCGCGCGAGGUAGGGAAGGGAUCGAUGGGUGGGAGGGUGUGGUCGCUGCCAUGUCGUCCUUCUCUGUUGUUGGGAUUGUCUGCACGGCGUCAUAUUCGAGAGGCGCCAGAAGAUCGAUGGUGACAAGAUGGGUGGCACGCAGGGAGAAGCUUGUCGGCCAGCUGCGGGGCGUAGGCUCCGAGGAGGUGCACAGGCUGUGGGAGCUCGUGGAGGACUUGGUCGGCUCCGUUGCGCACGGGAAAAGAAUCUUGUCGGCGGCUGCGCACGCGGGGAGGACUUCGCUGGCUCCGACACUCUUGGGAGGAGAAGCUCAUCGGGGGCUACGCACACGGGGGGAAGCUCGCCGGCUGUCGCACACACGGGAUGGACUUGGCUGGCUGCACGCGCGGUUCCAAUCCUUCCUCCCGCUCCUCUCCCACCCCUCCCCCUCUCUUCAGUGCCCAUCUCCUUUCCGCUGACGCCGUUUUCGCCCCACGCGUUGCCACCUUCACUACUGCCGCCUGGUCGCUCGCUCCAGCGCUGCCACCUUCACCGCCGAUGCCGCCCCACGUGCCCACUUCACUGUCAUCGUGCUGGCAAGGCUAGUCGCUGCCACUGCCUAUAGAGGGAGAGAGAGGGGUGAGGAAAAAGAAAAUGAGAUUAGGAUGGCUGACCUGUGGGGCUAUUAAUUUUCUAUUUUUUCUCACUGAUAUGUGGAUCCUAUGAGCGCCACGUAGGAUGAAACCGCUUUUGAAACCAAGGAAUCGAUUUACACCGGUUUUUAGAGAUGGAGGAUGUGUUAUACCCGGUUUUGUGGUUAAAGGAUACGAUUCAACUAGGGUCAAGAGAUGAGGGAUGUAGAAUAGACUUAUUCCUUGUAUGGCCGUGUGCCGUGACCAUGGAGGAAUCCGGUAAGAGAGGCUGAGUGGUUGGCGUCAUUGGGCUAGUGCCCGCUCUUGAACACCGCCGGCCCGUCUCUCGCGCAUAGCCAUCUCGGUGAUUUCGUCAUCGCUACCGUCAUCCCUCAAAGCUCCAUUGAGCAGCGGCAACAAGCAUCGGCCACCAGAGCGAGAGGAGGAAGACAAGAGGAGCAGCUGUGUCACUCGAAUCAUCAGGAGCAACGACGACCUUCUGCUACUUUUGCCACAAGUGGUACUCUCCCCGUCUUAAAAUAUAAGUAUUUUUAAAUUUAGCAUAGACUUCGAAAUACUACUUUGAUCCACAGUAUCUUUAAAAGUAAGAUUCUUGAAUAAAAAGAGUUGCAUAUUAUGAUAGUUUGUUCUAAAAUAUAAGUAUUUUUAAAUUUGGCAUAGACUUCGAAAUACGACUUCGAUCAACAAUAUCUCUAAAAGUAAGAUUCUUGAAUAAAAAGAGUUGUAUAUUAUGAUAGUUUGUUUAACGAUUAAUCCAGUAACAUCAAUUUUACACGCUCGAUCUUUUUUAUUUUUUAUAUUAAUAGUUAAAGUUAAAAAUGCUUAACUUGACACUAUUAUCAAGAUACUUAUAUUUUGAGAAAGAGGGAGUACUCCCUCUGUCUCAAAAAACUCAAUUCCUGAGUUUUUGUGUUUAACGUUUGACUGUCCGUCUUAUAUGAAAUUUUUUUAUAAUUAGUAUUUUCAUUGUUGUUAGAUGAUAAAUCAUGAAUAAUAUUUUAUGUGUGAUUUAUCUUUUUAAUUUUUUUUAUAAUAUUUUCAAAUAAGACGGACGGUCAAACGUUAGACACGAAAACCUAUAAAUUGAGUCUUUUUGGGACGGAGAGAGUAAUAUUUACUCCAUCCGUCCCAAAAUAUAACAAUUUCUUCAUCAACAUUCUCUUCUAAACCAAUCACAACCAUCCACCAUUCACUUUUCUCACCUAUCUUCACUUCUGAUCCAAUCACAACCCUCUAGCAUUCACUUCUACUUACUUUCUUAAUAACAGUAUUCAACUCUAAAACUUCUUAUAUUCUGGGAUGGAGGGAGUAUUUAGUACUGGCAGGAUUUCCUCACACCAUUCGUCAAUGCUCUUACUUUCUCUCCGAUCCUUUUUUUCAUAAAUACAAUACAACCGUCGAUGCUCACAACGUGCAUAUACUUAUCCUGGGAACGUGUACACGGUACAUUAAUCGUACCCCUAUAAACACCUCACCGAUUACUGUAGUAGCGCGUCCCACCACAUAAAUCAUGUGUAAUACGUGACUACUAGUUGACACGAGACUCUGCCCCGGCCGCUUAGCUUGGUCCUCAACGAGUCCGUGUUUUCAUUUUUUGCCAGCGCGGUUUUGAAGAACUUUGCAGAUGAAGUUUGGUCCCAACCCAACUGUGAGUCGUCCAAGGUCCUUAUCCUACGCGUCCACCCGAUCGAACCGUACAGAGUUCAGGUACCAUUAUUCUACCUCUACGGCCGACCAAAACACGGUCCCCAUCUCGAAAUUCAGACACCGGAUAUGUACGCAAGUGUGCAUGCAUACACUUAUCUCUCUUACAUAGUCGCUCCGUUCCAUUUUAAAUACAAUCGUGAAUUUCUGUGUCCAACGUUAGAUCGUUCGUCUUAUUUAAAAAAUUUAUAAAAAAAUAAAAAAAUAAGUCACUCAUAAAGUACUAUUUAUAUUUUAUCAUCUAAUAAUAAUAAAAAUAUUAAUCAUAACAAAAAAAAAUUAAAUAAGACAACGAUCAAACAUUGGACACGGAAACCAAUAAUUACACUUGAAAUAGGAUGGAUGGAGUAUUAUCUAAAUGAUUCAAAUAUUUUUCUUUAUAAAUUUAAUAUCAUAGACUACAAUGCUUUUUUAUCACAUCAUAAAUAUGUAGUGCUGAAGAAAGCAAAUGUUGCCAACUGUUUUGAAUUUUUUUUACACCCUCUGUUUUAUAGUAUUUGUUACUUUUGACUAGCUCUGUUUUGCUCUGUCCAGAAAUAACUUUAAAUAAUUUCACAAUUUAAAAACAUAGCAAAUUAAUUAUGUUUUAUGGUACAUAAAAACAUACAAAUUAAGGUUAUUUCCGUCAAACAAUUUAAAAUUAACUCACUCUAUUCGUUUUUCUAAUAUACGUCACCCCCAUAUUCUUAAUAUGCAUGUGACCAUUUAUCCUUAAAAAAAUUACAUAAUUAUCAUUUAUUUUCUUGUAAUUUGUAGGUUGUGUCAACAAAAUUAAUAAAUAAUGUCAAACUGAGAGAGUAACUAUUUGAUAAUCAAUAUUCGAGGGGCGAGGAACAAACGAGUGCAAAUAUAUGACAACUGUAAAAUUCACUGGUGAACCAAUCCAAUCCAUUUCCUAUCUAUUACUAACUUACCAACCACACUAUCCCGUUCCUAAAGAAAACGUGGUCAUUUCAUAUCUCUCAUGCCAAAUAGAUAGGUGGGAUCAUCUCAUACCAAAAAAAAGCAAUGAACUUAACCCAUUCCACCUCAUCCAAUCCACAAACAGAGCACAUUAUUAAUGUUUAAAUUAGUGUCAGCCCAAAUUGAUGAAUAAUGUAAAACUAGGGUAGUAGCUAUUUGAUAAUCAAUAUUCGAGAGCGAGCAACAACCGAGUGGGCAUAUACCACGUCCGUUUUUUAAUAGAUGACGCCGUUGACUUUUUUUUAGAAUAACAUAGUACAAAGCAGACACUCACAACGCACGCGUACUCACCCCUAUGAACACACGCACGCAAACCCUAUCCCUAUGAGCAUCUUCAAAGACUGGGCCGGCAAAUCCUGGAGAAAUUGACGAAGUCACCACAGGCGCCUCGCUGUCGACGGGUACGUCGCCUACCACAAAAAGCACAACGCCGUUAAAUCCUGAAAAAUUCGCUCCCAUGGGGAGUCGAACCCAGGACCUCAUGACGCCGUUGACUUUUGAACACAUGAUUGACCACUUAUUUUAUUAAAAAAAAUUAUACAAAUGUAUAACAUAUAAAUCAUGCUUAAAAUAUUCUGAGUGAUAAAACAACCCGCAACAAAAUAAAUUAUAAUUACGUAAAUAUUUUUUGAAUAAGACGAACGAUUAAACGUGAGAAAAUAAUUAAUGGCAUCAUUUAUCAAAAACGGAGGAAAUAUAUGACAAUUGUAAAAUCCAACUCCUUAAUAGGGAAAUCCAAUUUGUGCUAGGAUGAUAAAGACAUUGUAGCUAUAUUUAUGACGCCAUAUUGUUUACCAAAUAAUAUUCGGCAUGUAUUUACGCUGUAAGUUCCUAAAUUACAUAUGUAAUUUUAGUGUAUUUACAAUAUAAGUUUCAAAAUUACAUAUGUAAAUUUUAAAAUUAUAUAUAUAAGUUCCAAAAUUACAUAUGUAAUUAGUAUGUAAUUACAUGAAUUUGGUACAUGAAGUUGGUACUUCAGGGUGUGUUUUAGUUCACGUCAAAAUUAGAAGUUUGGUUGAAAUUGGAACGAUGUGACGAAAAAGUUGAAAGUUUGUGUGUAGGAAAGUUUUGAUGUGAUGAAAAAGUUAAAAGUUCGAAGAAAAAUUUUGAAACUUAACUCGGCCCUAGUUUGAUGUUCAGCGGAUCACGAGUUCGAUCCAUCAGUCUGCACCCGUGGGAAAUUUUUUUUUACACUCCAUCGGCACGCAUCGUAAAGCACAUUGGAUAGUCUAAAAAUUGCAAGUUUUCUGACCGAAUUUCUGCCACAGAAAUUUAGACCUUGUUUAGUUUGUGAAAAGAAAAUUUCUGGGUGUCACAUUGAACAUUUGACCGAAUGUCGAAAGGAGUUUUCGGACAUGAAUAAAAAAAUAAUUUUAUAACUCGCAUGGAAACCGCGAGACGAAUUUAUUAAACCUAAUUAAUCCGCUAUCAGCACAUAUAGGUUACUGUAGCAUUUAUAGCUAAUUAUGGACUAAUUAGGCUUAAAAGAUUCAUCUCGCGAUUUCUAUACAAACUGUGCAAUUAGUUUUUUAUUUUAUCUAUAUUUAAUGUUUUAUGUAUGUGUUUAAAGAUUAGAUGUAAUGUUUUUGGGAAACAAUUAGCGAUUCCGAAGACAUUCUAGGAUGGAGCACUGUGCCCAAGUCGUUUUCAGGUAGUCUACGUGGUCUUCCCCCGCAUGUCCAUACCACUAGUAAAAAAAAGGCACACAUCAGAUUCAGACGUUAGUACAAUUCAGCUAGGGCACGCACACGUCACUGCCUACGUGGUAAUUUUACACACCCAUCCUUAUAUAUAGAUCUCAUGCAUGCAAGCUCACUCGACCGAGCUAGUUAUCAACGUGCGAGUUGCGACGUACGAGGUUCGACGACGACCCGCGUAGCCAGCUAGCUCUAGCUGCCGGCCAUGUCGUCGUCGUCUUCGGCGACGACGACGAAGUAUAGGGGAGUGCGGCUGCGCAAGUGGGGGAAGUGGGUGUCGGAGAUCCGGCUGCCCAACAGCCGCGAGAGGAUAUGGCUGGGAUCCUACGACACGCCCGAGGAGGCGGCGCGGGCGUUCGACGCCGCGUUCGUCUGCCUCCGCGGCGGCGGCGAGGCCGCCGGGAACGGGAUCAACUUCCCCGGCUCGCCCCCUGCCGUGGCGCGCACCAGCGACCCGCAGGAGGUGUACGCGGCCGCGGUGUCGCAUGCCAACAACCGGCCGCCGCCGCCGCCGUCGGCCCGAGCAACGUCGUCUGCACUUCCAUGGGAGGAAGCUCCGGUGGUGGCGGCUCAGGAGGCGGCGGCGGACAUGGCGCCCGACGUGGUGGUGCUGCCAUCGUCGCCGGUGAAUGUGCUGGCAGCAGCUGGGAGCUUCGAAUAUUGGUCGCAACAACCACUCUACUCGCCGACGGCAGCAAGCCUCGAUUUGCAGAGGUGGAUGACGGCGGCGGCGGCGGCCGAGGAAUCAAUAAUGGAGGAUGACGACGACGAAGGAACAAGUGAUGGUCUUUGGAGUUUCCACUACUCACCGACUCGUUCCAAGUGGUAAUUAACGAGCUUAAUUAGGAUGCUCGUGUGAUCUGGCGUCCAACUGAGGAGCUUAAUUAAUUUUGCACAAUAUAUGCCACGCAUCUUGUAACGUAGGAAAUGCACAUUGUUUAGGAUAUAUCUUUUUCGUACAAAAAUGAACUUUCAAAACUGUGUUUAUACAUUUAAAAUUGAUACAUAAAAAUGCUGGCUGUAUGUAGAUUUAUCUUCUAAAUUAAUCUAAUUCCAUGUAAUUUUUUUUCUAAAAUGUUUUUCAUGAGGUAAUGCAGCUACUGAGGUCCCGUUCGUUUCUUAUGUAACACGUGGAUGAAAAUUUAGAUUUUUGUGGGCUGUACACGGUGGCGGUUGUGGCGUUCACAAGCCUGCACAUGGCGGGGUUCGGGUGGUGGUGUGGCCCGGUAGAGGAGGACGAAUAAGAAAGAAGAUUGCUGUUUCACUUACAAAUGGAUCCCAUGUGUCUUUUUAAUUUUUUUCUAUUUGUGUUUAUUGUGCCACGUUAUCUAGAACCGUCUUCAAUAUUGUCUUAGGACUAGAAAAAAUAUCCGUGCGUUGCAACGGGAAGAAAAGAUGAGAAAAUUAAGGAGAAAUUGAGAAAGAUUUACAUUAUGUAAUUAACUUAAAUACAAAUUUCCUGUAAUAGUUGAUAUUUUUUUAAGUAGGUAGGUGUUUAAAUUAAUUUAAAAGUAAACUAAGUGUGGAAAUAAAAUGAUAUGGCUGGAUUUAAUUUUUAUGAAGUUCUCCAUGAUUAAUUACACUCUAGAAUUUUCUUGAAAUUUUUAGAGCUCAGUUGCUAAUUUUAAUAAUACAAACAUUAUUUCAGCAUUUAUUUAAACAAAAAUCUAAAUAAAAACUCUCCUUUCUCUCUGUGCCAUCAGCCUGCAGCCGAGCCGGCCCACUUUUCUCCCUUCUCCUCCCCUCCACCUUGGCCCGCAAGUACGCAUCCAGCCCGCAAGGCACUACAAGUCUAAUCAGCUUCCCCAGCUCCUUCUUUCAUGGCUACAUGGCCGUCUCCUACCUCCGUAUGUAUUGCCGCAUCUGCCCGACGACGCCUGAAUCUGACUCCUCCGUAAAAUCCGGCCACAUCCUUGGAGAUAAUCCGAAAUUAACUGAUGGGUUUUAAUCCUUAUCUUCUCCUCUUUCUGUUUUCCCAAGAAUCAAAGCAAAACCACGUCGUAUAGAUAUCGGAAGUGAAACCAUAGUUUUUUUUAGUCUAAGUCAGUUUCUCUUAAAAACUGCGCACGCACGCGCGAGAGGCGAGGGAACCAGACCAUAUGGACGAAAAAAGAAGUGUGACGAAAGGAAAAAUACGAAUAUUUUAAUUAAGUUAAGAUUAAGAUAAGAUAUAUUAUUAUUAGGUAGGUAUAGAUGUACUAUGGGGUGUUCUUGUGGUGUACGUAUUAGGGCGUGAUCUAAGCGUAGUGGACCUGAACAUGACAUGGGCUAUUUUCUAGGGGAAACGUGACAUGGGCCUAAAAAGAUCUAUAAGGGAAUAGGAAAUCAUGGAGCUAUCAAGGAGGAAUCGGACAGAAAAAAUCGCACACUACAUGUGGAGGGAAUCGGAUUAAAAAAUCGCAACAAUCGCGCUAUAUACGGUAGGGAAUCGGACUCAAAAAUCACUCGGGACGACGUAUGGAAAUUCAUGGGCAAAAACAUCUUAAACUUUUAUAAUAGGAAAAGAUUAUAUUUACACCGGUUUUAAAAGAUAAAUGAUGCUUUGUAACUAAUUUUGAGAUUUAGGAAUGCGAUUCAAACUCCGACAUCAAGAGACCUUAAGUGAAUUUAUUCCAUUGAUGUACUUACAAGAGAUGGACCAAAUUAGGCAUUAAUUUUUGGAAAAUAAGUUUACUUUAGAUCCCUUAAGUUGUCACCGAAUUCUAAAUUCAUCAAUGGAUUGCAAAACCGGAUACUACGCAUCCCCUAACUUACAACCAAUGCAAAUGAGGUUCCUUGGCAGUAUUGCACUCGGUUUUAGCUGACGUGGCUCCUUUGACUAGGUAUUCGUCGCACAUGGCAUUAACGCGACGCUUAUGUAACAAUUCGAUCCAAAUAAUAAUAAUAAUAAUAAAACUCAUAUGGUCCACAUAUCACUUACACAAAAAAAAAAUAAAAAAAUUGUGGUGCCCAUGUGAUUCCACGUAUCAUCCUCACUACUACCUCUUCUCUCUAUCCUCUCUCUCUCCCCUGCAUGUUGCUGUACACGUUGGUCUGGAUGAUGUAGGAGUAGGACUCACCCGUCCGGUUGCCCAGGAACUCGAAGUCCAGCUCGUCGCGCUGCGGCGCCGUGUCCACGUAGGAGCACAUCUGCAACCACCGAACAUGUACCUGUCCUUCGUCUGGAACCCGACGCCGCCUGAACAAAAAACCAAGAAACAGGGGAGCAUCAGCACUAGGCAUUGCCGGAGCUAGCUUGUUCGAAUCAGAGCAGCUGCAUGCGAGAUCACUCUCACUCACCGGUCUUUUGUUGUCGAGGUAGAGGUACCACGUCUAGCCAUCGGCGGAGGUCUUGACGUAAUCCUCGAUCGGCUCCGCCGCAGACGCCCCACUAAAGCAGCAGAAGCAGCAGCAGCAGCACACAUCAACAACGAUCGUCGCCACCAUCAACGUACCCACCAACCCACGGCCGCAUCCCCCGUGACCCCGGGGUUCACGAAGCGGAGCGGGCGGCGGUGGACGCCGUCGUAGUUGGUGACGACGUAGAGCGCGGGUCGUCGCCGUCGCGCUCCACCCGCUUCUUGACGCCGCGCACCCCGCCGCCGAGCACCGGUAGUAAUUCCUCGCGUUCGGUUGAACUCCGACCUCGUCCUGACUCCUGAGCCCAAUCCUGCUCGUCGUCGCUGAGGACAUACCAUGCCGGUCGUUAUUCCCGCUGGCCAUCACCACCGGCGGCGGCUGCUGCCCCGCCGCUCCGCCAUCACAACUGAUCAUUCGUCUUAUUCAAGAUUUUUCGUGUAAAUAUAAAAAUAUUUAAAUCAUGAAGUUUUGAUGAUAAAUUAAAUCACAAUAAAAUAAGUAAUAAUUACAUUUUCUUAAUAAGAACGUAUCUAAAAAGUCAAUAAUUAUCGUCAUACAGAGUAUAUAUAUCAGAUCCACCAAAUAUGCCACAACCAUUUAUCCCUGUUUAAUUGAAGAACUUGUCAAUAUGCUUUUAUCAACCAUGCAUAUAUAUUAACAAUUACUCCGUAACUUCAAAGUUCGAACUAAUAACUAAAUAACGAACCACUUUCUUGAUGUCCUCCAAAUAUGUCACACUAUCAUCUGCUGGCAAUUACUUGAUCAGUCAUCACGUUCCAAAUGUUUUUUUUCGCCGGUCAAGUUCUGAAUGCUACGUACGGAAAAGAACACGUACUAAUAGAAAGCGCGCUUCCAAAGUUGCACACAAGAAAAUUUUGUUUUGUUGUUAUUUUUAUGGAAGGAAAAAACUGUAGGUGAGUAUAUCCUACAGCGUAAAACCAAAAAUAUAUUAAAAGAAACAAAAUUUACACUGUACAAUAAAAAUAAGUAACAAAUUCUGCAGUCGUUGUUGCAUUUGGGGCAUUGUAUUAUCUUUUGCUCUAUGGAUAACCAUGGCAAAUUCCUUUUUGAAAAGGUCCAAGCAAACUUGGACGAAGUAAGGUGAGAUGUUUUUGAAGAUCUUAUCAUUUCGUGUGAUCCAAAUGCUCCAAGCCAUAAUGAUUAUUAUCUCCAUGUGAAAGGACACUUGGAGUUUUUCUUGCAGAUCUUCAAUGGCCUCUUGGACUGAGAGUCCCAUUCUUCUUGUGGGGAAAAUUUUGUUCCAGCAUAGUGUGCAAAAGGACAAGUGAGAAAGAGAUGUUGCUGAGUUUCUUCCAUUCCCAAGUUGCAGAUGUGAAAUGAGAUGCGUGGGAAGCGUUGAACGUCUCUCGAGGCCACACCUUUGUUAAUAUAGAUGGGAACAGCCCCCAUUGUGGCGUUUACAAUAGAUCGAUCUCAAUCUCAGUUGUUGCUAAUCAACCGGAGAGAAACCGUGUACAGGAGAAAGGAUAGGAACAAACUCUAAUGACUUAUCUCCUAUACAUCGGGAACUACUUUAUCUAACACCCUCUCUCAAUCACAACCUUCCUAGGUUGAGAUUGUAUUUGAAGUUUUCUGGAAGUCGUUCUGACAAUGGUUUAGUAAAACCAUUUGCAACUUGAUCUUUAGUACAUAACCAACUUGCAAUAAUUUUUGUGCUACUCUCUCUCGAACAAAAUGGUAAUCAGUUGCUAUAUGUUUAGUUCUUGCAUGAAAGACAUGAUUGAAGGAUAAGUACCUUGCACCCAUGUUGUCACACCAUAGUUGAGCGGGACAGAGUGCUUGUGAAGCUUGGUGCUGCAGAGGAGAAGACUGUUGGUGGGAUUCUGCUUCCGUCAACCGCACAGUCUAAGCCUCAGGGAGGUGAGGUUGUUGCUGUUGGAGAGGGAAGAACUAUUGGGGAUAAGAAAGUUGAGGUCAGCUUGCAGGUAAAGUUCUUCUCACAAUGAGAUUGCAAGUGUACCUGUAUGAUGUCUAGUACUACAUUUCUUACCCCAUAGCUCGGUUGUGAGUUGCAAGUAGCAGUGACACGGCAAUUUACUUGUUGGUUGUUGCCAACUAAAUUUAAAAGCAUAUUGUGUGUGAUGCCUUAUCAAGAAUGCGAUGUUAAUGGUGUACGGGGUCUGUGAGGCUGAAGUUUCUAUGGCACAAAACUCAUGUGAAACCAACAGAGGUUUCUCAUGAUUGCUUUAUGACUGUUGUUCAGAGUAUGCAACACUGAUAUAUUUUGAUUGUUAGUUUCUGGUUUGGUUAAACAUAUGAAUCCACGUAAGGAGUAUCCUUUGGCAAUGGGCAAAUAUGUAUGAGCAUUUGCUUAAUUUUGUCAUCCAUACAAAUAGAUGUUGUUAGUCUUUCAUAGCACUAGGAGAGUAGGAGGUGGUGCAUAUGACCCGGGUUUGAGAAACAACAGAAAACCGGGAAAAAAGAAUCGCUCAACCCUUUUUUUUUAAAGGACUGGUUCACUCCCUCAUGUUGGUAUUACUAGCAACUUCCAUGGAGAACAUUUAUUUAGUUAGUGCCUGGUUUACAAGUCCAAACCCAUGAUGUUUUGGCAUCUCCAUCCCUCAACUAGAUUCACUAAUGUACAUAUGAAUUUGGACACAUAUAUGAAGCACAUACAUGAAUCUAUUCAAAACUCAAAACGUCUUAUAAUGUGAAACAAAGAAAGUAACUAGGUAAAGCGGCUUCUGAGGUAAUGCUGUGUGACUUGUUUGUUUAUAGUUAUCUUGUUGAACAGGGUACAAUUUGUUCUGACUGAUGGGCGAAAAAGGCUUUCAAUCUCUGUUUUUUUUUCUUAGAUGCACCUUGCAACUUUAUCUUGGUUCCUGCAUGACAAUAAUUGUUUGGGUUCAUCAUCUUGUCUACUGGAAAUGUCUCUAAGAUAAGGUUUAGAUUGGUGAAAAAUUUACUGAUAGUGAUGCUUGUUACAGGACCUUAGAUUGGUGAAAAAUUUACUGAUAGUGACUCUUGUUACAGGACCUUGGUUAUUUUCAUUUGUUGUGUAACUAGUUUUCACUUAACUUGAAUUUCUGCAAGGAGAUACUACAUUAGUAAACUUAAUUUAGACAAUCAUAGCGAUUGGCACUACAGAGAGCCUACUGUUGAAUUUCAGUGCAGCAAUUGUGCUAUAUAUUACCUGAUGAACUUGGUGCAAUAAGAUGUUAAAGUGCCAAUCUGCCAAUUUGUUCUGUUGCUUUUAUGUUGUGGUUUACUGCUUAUGCCUUCUAAUGGCAGUAUUAAGUGAUUUAUAUUGUUCUGUAGAUUGGGGCUGAAGUUGUAUAUUCAAAAUAUGCUGGGACUGAGGUGCAAUUUAACGACACCAAACAUCUUAUUCUAAAAGAGGAUGAUAUCAUUGGUGUUCUUGAGACUGAUGAUGUCAAAGAUAUGAAGCCCCUUAAUGACCGGGUUCUCAUCAAGGUAUCCAUAUGUUAUUGUUAUUGCUUCUUAAGAUAGUUGCCAGUAGGGUUAUGGUUUAUAGGUAAUGAAAUUGGAGAAUGUUGAAUAAAUUGUACAUCUUGCCGUUGUACUUCCUAGACAACCU